rnacentral:misc_RNA from 1 species
AACUCAAUUAUAGGGGCAUAGAAUUUUUUUUACCUUGAGCCUUUCUCGCAACGCAUCCCGUUCUUCGGCCAAGCGGUUGACGUCAGCUCGUGCUGAAUCUCGUUCCUGUUCCAAACGCUCUAACAUCGCCUGAGAAUUCUCAAUAUCUCAUGAUCAGUUCUGAAUUAUGGGUAUUUCAUAUAUGUGUAAGAAACCUGUCGAUCACCAACCUUUGUUGUAUCGGAAUCUUGACCGGAGAGUGGAGAUGUCGUUGAAAAAUUGCCGAGGACAUUUGGCCUUGAAACGCUGCAGGGAAUGCAGCCACGACUUGUUCCUUUUCGUUCAAUUGGCGUCUGAGUUCACAAGCUUGCGCCCACAAGUCAGCCUGACAGAUAGUGCGUGAAAUAAAGUUGAAAAAAAUUUAAACAAGCUGGUUUUGCAGUGUGGAGUGGUACAUCAUAAUCACCGAUGGGCAAAUCUUCAUGGUACAUUAUCAGGUUUCUGAUUUUCAACAGUGUGUUUCCCAGCUUGCAAGUUGUUGAACACAUCUUUUGAGACUUCAUUUUCUCCGUGACCGUUCAAGCUAUGUUUAUUCACCGAGGGCGAAGCAGGUCGAACUUUGGUUGCUACAAAAACACCAGAGUGAAGGAGCUAUGAGGUUGAUUACGUAUAG